rnacentral:rRNA from 1 species
CUUCCAGGAAAAGCCUCUAAGCUUCAGAUUGUAAGGAAUCGUACCCCAAACCGACACAGGUGGUCGGGUAGAGAAUACCAAGGCGCUUGAGAGAACUCGGGUGAAGGAACUAGGCAAAAUGGUACCGUAACUUCGGGAGAAGGUACGCUCUCGACGGUGAAGUCCCUUGCGGAUGGAGCUAUUGAGAGUCGCAGAUACCAGGUGGCUGCAACUGUUUAUUAAAAACACAGCACUGUGCAAAAUCGUAAGAUGACGUAUACGGUGUGACGCCUGCCCGGUGCCGGAAGGUUAAUUGAUGGGGUUAGACUUCGGUCGAAGCUCUUGAUCGAAGCCCCGGUAAACGGCGGCCGUAACUAUAACGGUCCUAAGGUAGCGAAAUUCCUUGUCGGGUAAGUUCCGACCUGCACGAAUGGCGUAAUGAUGGCCACGCUGUCUCCACCCGAGACUCAGUGAAAUUGAAAUCGCUGUGAAGAUGCAGUGUACCCGCGGCUAGACGGAAAGACCCCGUGAACCUUUACUACAGCUUGGCACUGAACAUUGACCCUACAUGUGUAGGAUAGGUGGGAGGCUUUGAAGCACGUACGCCAGUAUGUGUGGAGCCGUCCUUGAAAUACCACCCUUGUAGUGUUGAUGUUCUAACGUCGACCCCUAAUCGGGGUUGCGGACAGUGCCUGGUGGGUAGUUUGACUGGGGCGGUCUCCUCCCAAAGAGUAACGGAGGAGCACGAAGGUGGGCUAAUCACGGUUGGACAUCGUGAGGUUAGUGCAAUGGCAUAAGCCCGCUUGACUGCGAGAAUGACAAUUCGAGCAGGUGCGAAAGCAGGUCAUAGUGAUCCGGUGGUUCUGAAUGGAAGGGCCAUCGCUCAACGGAUAAAAGGUACUCCGGGGAUAACAGGCUGAUACCGCCCAAGAGUUCAUAUCGACGGCGGUGUUUGGCACCUCGAUGUCGGCUCAUCACAUCCUGGGGCUGAAGUCGGUCCCAAGGGUAUGGCUGUUCGCCAUUUAAAGUGGUACGCGAGCUGGGUUUAGAACGUCGUGAGACAGUUCGGUCCCUAUCUGCCGUGGGCGUUGGAAGAUUGAAGGGGGCUGCUCCUAGUACGAGAGGACCGGAGUGGACGAACCUCUGGUGUUCGGGUUGUGUCGCCAGACGCAUUGCCCGGUAGCUAAGUUCGGAAUCGAUAACCGCUGAAAGCAUCUAAGCGGGAAGCGAGCCCUGAGAUGAGUCUUCCCUGAUACUUUAAGUAUCCUAAAGGGUUGUCGGAGACUACGACGUUGAUAGGUCAGGUGUGUAAGUGCUGUGAGGCAUUGAGCUAACUGAUACUAAUUGCCCGUGAGGCUUAACCAU